GUGCUUGCUUUGGAAGGACAUACACUAAAAUUGGAACAAUUCAGAGAAGAUUAGCAUGUCCCCUGUGAAAGGAUGCUAUGUGAAUUCAUGAAGCGUUCCAUAUUUUU
ensembl:snRNA U6 U6 spliceosomal RNA